ensembl:snRNA U6 U6 spliceosomal RNA
GUGCUCACUUGGGCAGCACAUAUACUAAGAUUGGAACGAUACAGAGAAGAUUCGCAUGGCCCCUGCACAAGGAUGACACACAAAUUCAUGAAGUGUUCCAUAUUUGA